rnacentral:rRNA from 1 species
AUGGCUAGUUUAGGUUCAUCUCAAGUUGCAAGUUCAUCACUUAAGAGGAAGUCGGAUGAAAUGGCUUGGGAGUUUGCCGAGUUGAUUGAUCCUAGUGGUCCACAAAGGCUCAAGUGCAAGCUUUGUGGAAAAGUCAUGUCGGGAGGGGUCACUAGGAUGAAGGAGCACAUUGGGCAGAUCAAAGGCGCUGUGACCAGCUGUAUGAAAGCCACACAAGAUCAGAUUACUCGAGCUUUUGCAUCACACGAGGCACCAAAGAGGAAGAAAUUGGAAAAGCAAAAGCGUGAAGAAGAAGUUAAAGCUGCAGUCACCAUAGAGGUCAACGAGGAUGAUCAAGAACAACUGAAUGAAGUUGGUGAAGGUACUCCAAAGAAGGGGGCAAUGGAUCAAUAUCUUGCACCAAUUGAUCCUUCGAUCCCGUUGAAAUCUAAAAAACAGAAGACUAUAAAUGAUAGUGUUGAUAAGGAAAGAAGCUACAAAGUUGGGCAAUAUUUGGCUAGAUGGAUGUACAAGAAAAAUAUACCCUUCAAUGCUAUCAAUGAUGAUGAUUUCAAACAGUUUUGUGAGGCUCUUGGUCGCUAUGGUCCUGAUUGGAAGCAACCCUCGCAAUAUAUGAUCAGGGAGAGAAUGUUGGUUCAGGAGGUGGAAAGGACUAGGGAUUUGUUGAAGCCACAUGAGGUCGAGAGGGCAGAUACGGGGUGCUCUGUCAUGACUGAUGCUUGGACGGACAAGAAAAGGAGGAUCAUCAUGAACUUGUGCGUGCAUUGCAAGUUGGGGACCAUCUAUCUUGGAUCAAAGGAGGCAUCGGCCGAUGCACAUACAAGUCUAUACAUUUUCAAUUAUGUGGAUGAAUGCAUUGAGAAAAUAGGUGCUGAAAAUGUUGUGCAAGUAGUCACGGAUAAUGCUUCAAACAACAUGGGAGCAAAGGUGAUGUUGAAAGAUAAAAGGCCCAAGUUAUUUUGGACCUGGUGUGCAUCUCACACCAUCAACUUGAUGGUAGAAGCGGUUGCAAAGUUGAAGCAUUUUUGUUCUACAAUAACCAAAGCCAAAGAAAUGACUACUUUCCUUUAUGCACAUCAUGCUACAUUGGCCUUGAUGAGGUCAUAUACAAAAAAGAGAGACAUUGUUAGACCGGGGGUGACUAGAUUUGCUUCGGCAUUUCUUACCUUGCAAAGUCUUGAUGCUAAGAGGAAGAAUCGAAAGGAAAUGUGUUGUAGUGAUACUUGGGAAGGAUGCAAGCACACGAGAACAAAGAAAGGGAAGGUGGCUCAUGCCGCAAUAAUGAGUAGGACAUUUUGGAAAAAUGUGUCUCUUUGCAUUAAGGUAUUGUUUACUAAACUUCAAAUUGUGCUUGUGUAUGUUGGAAUGCAUGUGUAUAUGUUAAAUAAUAAUGUUGUGCACUUGUGCUUGGGUAUGUUGGAAACUUGGAAUGGAAGGUUUUUGAGCCAUUGGUGA